rnacentral:rRNA from 1 species
GUAAUAGUUAUGUUCUUGAAACUUAAAAAAUUUGGCGGUAUUUUAGUCUAUUCAGAGGAACUUGUCCUAUAAUUGAUAAUCCACGUUGGACCUUACUUAAAUUUGUAAUCAGUUUAUAUACCGUCGUUAUCAGAAUAUUUUAAAAGAAUAAUAAUUUUCUUAAAUUUAUAAAUAGAUUUAUUUCAGAUCAAGGUGUAGCUAAUGUUUAAGUAGAGAUGAGUUACAUUAAAAUUAUUUAUAUGGAUAUUAAUAUGAAAAAUUAAUAGAAGGUGGAUUUGGGAGUAAAUUUAUAAAGAU